GACUGAAAGCUUCUUUAAGGAGAAAGGAUCAACUGCCCCAGUUAUAGAGUGGUGAAUGGUAGAAGCCAUCAGGAUGGCCAAUCUGGUGUCCUGUGCCUUCUUCCUUGAUGUUCAAAACUCACACUCCAAGACAGAUGCAGAAGACUCUGAAAUCCUCAGUAUCUUUUUCACCUUGCAGGCAGUUGAAAAAACUCUGUGGAGAGUUCUUGUAAGCAGCUGGCGGUACACCAGGAUCUCCACUGAAGUAGGGACACCUCUUGAAGUCACUUAAUGUCUGCGUGGAGAUUCACCCAAGAUGUGCUGAAGCCUUGCCAACAGAUCCCUGUUACAGGAAUUACUGGAAACAAGAGAUGCUGGAAAUAAGGGAAAACUAACUGAAGCCCUCUCUGAAAUCAUGAAUUCAGUGAUGCCUUCUGUCUGAGCAAUUGAGAAAAAUGGAAGAGCCAGAUAAGCGGAAUGGAUAUGAGUAGAAUUGAAGCCAGGAUCAAAAACAAUAUGCCAUGAAAUUGGAGGUUUGUGUUGGACUGGCGCCUUAAUUAACAACUUUCUGAAAUAUAGACUGUUGUGAGAAUGUCAAUCUGAAAUGUCAAUUUUGCCUAUUAUAAACUGGAACAGGUUGCCCAGGGAGGUUGUGGAUGCCCCAUUCCUGGAGGCAUUCAAGGCCAGGCUGGAUGUGGCUCUGGGCAGCCUGGUCUGGUGGCUGGUGACCCUGCACAUAGCAGAGGGGGUUGAAACUAGGUGAUCAUUGUGGUCCUUUUCAACCCAGGCCAUUCGAUGAUUCUGUGAUAAAGCCACAUUAACAGGAAUACUGCUUAGUAUAAGAUAAAACAGUGACUGAUGUACAUCCAAUUGUACAAAAUCCUACACAAUGGCAAUUGAUCUGAAGUUUACUUUAUAGUAUUGGACUUAAAGGAUGUCUUCUUCUGCAUUCCACUAAAAGAACAAAGUCUAAAGCUGUUUACCAUUGAAUAGGAGAGCCCUACAGCAGGACCUAAAAUGCAGUUGUGCUGGACAGUGUUUCCUCAGGGACUAAAGAACAGUCUUAAAAACUAGCAGCCAAAGCCAUUAAAGGACAAGGAGAGUAACUAGAAGGGACUUAAGAAUGCUGAAAAGGAUUUGAUGAAAUAAAAAUCACUCACGUGUGCUCCUGCUUUAUGUCUCCUGAAUUUAACAAAUUCUUUUGAGUUUUAUUUACAUGAGAGAGGAUGUCAGGCUUUGGGUGUGCUUGCACAAACUUUGGGAGACUGGAAAAGAUCAGUAGCUUACUUUACAAAAUUAGGUAAGGUAAUCUCUGGAUGUCUGAGGGCAGUGACAGCAGCUGUGUUGCUAAAAUAAAAAGGGCAAGAAUUAACCUUGGGAGAGAAAAUUACUGCCUAUGUAUCACUAUUGUCACAGCACUGCUAGAGCAGAAAGGAUACCACUGGUUAUCCCAAACAGAAUGAUGCAAUACCAAGCAGUACUGCCCAACAAGAGAAAAAAAUGAUUUGAUGGAUGGACCACUUGUUGGAUAAGGAAUUGGCUGGAUGGUAACACUCAAAGUUGCAGUUAAUGAUUCAGAGUCCAAGUGGAGA
ensembl:lncRNA